rnacentral:rRNA from 1 species
AUACGGAGGGUGCGAGCGUUAAUCGGAAUUACUGGGCGUAAAGCGCGCGUAGGCGGCUAAUUAAGUCAAAUGUGAAAUCCCCGAGCUUAACUUGGGAAUUGCAUUCGAUACUGGUUAGCUAGAGUGUGGGAGAGGAUGGUAGAAUUCCAGGUGUAGCGGUGAAAUGCGUAGAGAUCUGGAGGAAUACCGAUGGCGAAGGCAGCCAUCUGGCCUAACACUGACGCUGAGGUGCGAAAGCAUGGGGAGCAAACAGGAUUAGAGACCCGAGUAGUCC